ACAUACAUACAAUCAAUACAACAAUAAUUCACAAUAUAACUAAUAUCACACAUAGAUCACAAAUGAUAAUACAAUGUGAUAUAAAACCAUAAGCAAAUCAAUCACACAAUCUGCCUCAAUCUAUCUUAUUCCACUUCCACAUCAUGUGGAAACGUUCAUCCAAUUAUAUUAUGGUGGGGAAUAACUAGACAAAAUAGGAAUACAUAAUGGAAUAACUCAUAUAUACUUUUCUCUAUAUCAUAGUCCUCUGCAUUAGCUUCCUGACGCAUCCAUUCCUGUUACCAAAAUUGGAGUUAUUAUUCCUGUUUUAUCAUGGAAAUACGGAAAUAAACCAUAAACAUACAUAAUAAUGUAAUACCUACAAUCAAGUUAUAAUUUACUUAUAAAAAUGAUUUUACCUCACCAAGCAAUAUAGAAUUUAACUAGCUUUCCAACACAUAUGAUCGGGCCUCAUUCCGAGUUAUGAAACUCAUUUUAGAGUGAAAACAGGAGAACCAAUCGAUUGCUAUCAUGACCCAAUUGAUUGGAUAGAGGUUCUUCUAGAUUUUUCACGAAAUUUUAAUGGACCAAUCAAUUGGGGUCCAAGACCAAUCGAUUGAUAAUGGGGAAAAUCAGUUUUUCUUCCUAUAAAGACCAGCCAAUCGAUUGUUUGACAUAUAUUUCCAGAACCAAUCGGUUGGUUCAUCACUUUUCUUCAUAAAUACAUGUUCUAAACACUUUCUUUUCCAAUUUUAAUGACACUAAUCCAUUCUAAAACAUAUGCUAUGAUAAACUCACAUAAAUCAAGAGAUUAUGAGGUAUAAUUUCAUAUAACAACACAUGAGAAAAUAUGGAAUCCAAGACAACAACAACAAUAUAGGAAUAAGAGCAUCAUGUUAUGAUCAACAACAACAACAUGAUUCACAAAACCAUGACUAGAUCCUUGGAACCCUAAGAGUUUCUAAAUCCCCCCAAAGUUCUAACUAAGAACUCACCUUGAAGAAAAAGAAAAAUUGAGAUGUAAUCGUUGAUGAUGAUAUGGUGGAGAUGAUGAAAAUCCAUGGCUUUCUUCUUAUUUCUCCAAGCUCUUAUUCCUUACUUUUCUUUUAUCUUCUUUCCUUCCUUUCUUUUCCUUCUCUUUUUCC
rnacentral:lncRNA from 1 species